rnacentral:rRNA from 1 species
AACGAACGCUGGCGGCAUGCCUAACACAUGCAAGUCGAACGAGACCUUCGGGUCUAGUGGCGCACGGGUGCGUAACGCGUGGGAACCUGCCCUUAGGUUCGGAAUAACUCCCCGAAAUGGGUGCUAAUACCGGAUAAUGUCUUCGGACCAAAGAUUUAUCGCCUUUGGAUGGGCCCGCGUUGGAUUAGCUAGUUGGUAGGGUAAAAGCCUACCAAGGCGACGAUCCAUAGCUGGUCUGAGAGGAUGAUCAGCCACACUGGGACUGAGACACGGCCCAGACUCCUACGGGAGGCAGCAGUGGGGAAUAUUGGACAAUGGGCGAAAGCCUGAUCCAGCAAUGCCGCGUGAGUGAUGAAGGCCUUAGGGUUGUAAAGCUCUUUUACCCGGGAUGAUAAUGACAGUACCGGGAGAAUAAGCGCCGGCUAACUCCGUG